AGUGAACGCUGGCGGUAGGCCUAACACAUGCAAGUCGAACGGCAGCACAGUAAGAGCUUGCUCUUACGGGUGGCGAGUGGCGGACGGGUGAGGAAUACAUCGGAAUCUACUUUUUCGUGGGGGAUAACGUAGGGAAACUUACGCUAAUACCGCAUACGACCUACGGGUGAAAGCAGGGGAUCUUCGGACCUUGCGCGAUUGAAUGAGCCGAUGUCGGAUUAGCUAGUUGGCGGGGUAAAGGCCCACCAAGGCGACGAUCCGUAGCUGGUCUGAGAGGAUGAUCAGCCACACUGGAACUGAGACACGGUCCAGACUCCUACGGGAGGCAGCAGUGGGGAAUAUUGGACAAUGGGCGCAAGCCUGAUCCAGCCAUACCGCGUGAGUGAAGAAGGCCUUCGGGUUGUAAAGCCCUUUUGUUGGGAAAGAAAAGCGGCAGGUUAAUACCCCGCUGUUCUGACGGUACCCAAAGAAUAAGCACCGGCUAACUCCGUG
rnacentral:rRNA from 1 species